rnacentral:sRNA from 25 species
AAUACCUUGUAGAGUUGAAGCCUUAGGUUUAUACCUGAGAGAUUAGUAGACGAUAUGAGGUAUU